AGAAUGUAGAAACUAUAGGGACUCACAACAUACCCAAAUUUCACAUUGAUCCAACGGUAGACGAGGGAGACAUUGUCCGGCGAAGCUGAUAGGUUUGAGGGGGUGAGGGAGGCGGCGGCUUUUUGAGAAAAAAUUAAGUUUUAUUUGUGUUUUAGGAUU